rnacentral:rRNA from 1 species
ACGGGUGAGUAAUACAUCGGAACAUGUCCUGUAGUGGGGGAUAGCCCGGCGAAAGCCGGAUUAAUACCGCAUACGAUCUACGGAUGAAAGCGGGGGACCUUCGGGCCUCGCGCUAUAGGGUUGGCCGAUGGCUGAUUAGCUAGUUGGUGGGGUAAAGGCCUACCAAGGCGACGAUCAGUAGCUGGUCUGAGAGGACGACCAGCCACACUGGGACUGAGACACGGCCCAGACUCCUACGGGAGGCAGCAGUGGGGAAUUUUGGACAAUGGGCGAAAGCCUGAUCCAGCAAUGCCGCGUGUGUGAAGAAGGCCUUCGGGUUGUAAAGCACUUUUGUCCGGAAAGAAAUCCUUGGUUCUAAUAUAGCCGGGGGAUGACGGUACCGGAAGAAUAAGCACCGGCUAACUACGUGCCAGCAGCCGCGGUAAUACGUAGGGUGCGAGCGUUAAUCGGAAUUACUGGGCGUAAAGCGUGCGCAGGCGGUUUGCUAAGACCGAUGUGAAAUCCCCGGGCUCAACCUGGGAACUGCAUUGGUGACUGGCAGGCUAGAGUAUGGCAGAGGGGGGUAGAAUUCCACGUGUAGCAG